UGACUUGACAUGACUCUUUAUGCUGAAGGGAGAGUUCCUGAGUGCUGUAUGACACAACCCAGCCAAGCUGUCUGCAUUUGGGAGGCAUUUUCUCCAGCUGGAUUGUCCUCUGUGAAGAGGCUUAACAGCAUUGUCCUGCAUCUUCUCUUCGUGGUGAGGUUUAUACACAUACGUGGGAGUGGUGCUCAGGUGCUUACAGUAGAAGACUGAAAUGGAACAAACACAGAUKAUUGUCAUUUGGUUCUUGUUGAAAUGCAGUGCUGUUGCUAUUCUGCCACUGUAAUCAGGCAGGCACUUYAGAGUUCAGCAGGGUCAUAUCAGUUAAUUCUAGGCUGUUUCCCC